GGGCGCGAGGGAAACGUAUAGGCGGGAUUCAAAACAAAGCAUUAAAAAAAACGUACAACACCAACAACACACACACACACAGGAACUCAUCUGGCCGUUGACGGUAAAAAGAGCCGAAGAGGUGAAGUGGAGGCCAGCUGAAUGUCUUCAGUUUUACAAGAGUGGAAAGAGAUGUGACAAUAGCGUUGCCCAACGCAUUGCAGGUGGCGUCGUUACGAGGACAAGGGUGACGCAGCAAACAGCUACCCCGCAACCAAGAACUCCCAACUCGGACGCCGUCUUGCCCCUGCAUGACAUCCACUUACGUGCAAACAAAAGUCCAAGGCGGAACUCGGGUCGGCAGAGGUGAGCAGCAUUGAUUUUACUGACAAGCCAAACGCCAUGUCUCAUUAAUCAUCAGAGACCUGCGUGAGGGAUUUCCUUGACAAAUCCAGAUAAGACCCAUCAAGUUUUGUCUAUGGGGCACACUACACCGAAGGUAAAGAGGGCGUCGCGGAUGCAACCGCUAGUUUGCACAAAUGGCUGAACCUCACAUACAUAAAUAAUACAUGAGUGCAGUGUUCUGUUUCUCCGGAGGAAAUGCUGACCUGGGCACCCCAAUCGAAUAACACCCACAUGUGGAAAACUCUGUUCCGCUGCUGAGUAGAAAGGAAAAAAAAAAGUAAUACCAGAGCAUACUAUGGGACGGAAGUUUAUUGCGUUCACUUUUGUCAUAUUUUUUGUUGCUGUUGUUUUUCAAAGUAUUUUUUUGGAUCGGUUUUUCAGAAGUAACAAAUAACCCAAGCAGCAAGAUUUUUGCCCAGAGAAAACCCACACAAGCAAACUCCACACAGGAAGCCCAGAUUGGAACACUUAAAUGAACUGAGAUCCGGAAGGCAGACAAGCUAAUGACUCAGCUACCACACCACUUGUAUCUGAAGUAUUUUUUUUCUCUACUUUGACCUUUCACCCCUGUAUGACAUGCGGUAGCCCAACUGGCAUACCAGAAGGG